rnacentral:misc_RNA from 1 species
UACGAGUGGUGCAAGCGUUAUUCGGAAUCACUGGGCGUAAAGGGUGUGUAGGCGGCGAAUCAAGUCUAUUGUUAAAUAUCUCGGCUUAACCGGGAAAAUGCGAUGGAUACUGAUAUCGAUAGAGGAUGGAAGAGAGAAGUGGAAUUCUCGGAGUAGCGGUAAAAUGCGUAGAUAUCGAGAGGAACACCGAUGGCGAAGGCAGCUUCUUGGUCCAUUCCUGACGCUGAAACACGAAAGCGUGGGGAGCAAACAGG